UCGGUACUAAACUUGGAGUUUCUAAUGCAGUAACCCCUGCCAAAAAUGUGCUUCGUUCCUCACCUCGUUUGAACCGAGAACGUUCUGACGAAAGAAACGUAGCAUUGCAUAAAGGAAGAAAAUCUGUUCACUUUACGAGUGCUAUUAAAGAUACUAAAUCUUGUUUAAAUGCUACUAUUGGUGAUAUGAGAUCUCCCAGUUUGAAAAAGACGCCUAUUAAGUUUGAUCUUCAAGCUUCUUUAGAGAAAGGUCUUACCUACAAACCGCACUCUGGAAAGUUAAAGCAGUCCUAUUUCCAAGUAAAUAGAUUGCCACCAAAAAGUCUCGAUACCAGCUCUGUAGAAUUAAAUAAAAAGUCUAUUAAGGAAAUCAGAAAAGAGCCGAGAUCUA
rnacentral:lncRNA from 1 species